rnacentral:misc_RNA from 1 species
CACCUUUUACCUUCCAUUUCUGGCAGAGGCUUCGCGCUCGGUCUCUCUCUCUCUCCCUCCCUAAUACCACAGGAACCCAUGGAUUCAGGCUCGACACCACAGUGGGCUAGUCUUCGAAGCGACCUCUUGUUUGUGAUCGCUAAGUGCCUCGACACUCGCGUAGACCUACUCCAUUUUCGCGCCGUUUGCUACUCAUGGCGGGCUUCUAUCCCUCAACCUCCCAAAAUUCCAUCUCCACACCCUUCUCUCAAGCUCCCCUUCCCUAUUUUCACCAAUCUACCUUUCAAUAGAAACAGCCGCGGCCACUUUGUCCUCACUGAAUCCACCAUUUACUCCUUCCAACCUCUCACCAGCAUCUCAAACACCACUGAGACCUGGCUUGUCAAAGCCGAAGAGUUGAAAUCUGGCGAGGUGAUUCUCAAGGAUACACUCUCUCCAUUUCCUUCACUCUGUUUAAUGGAGGGGUUUCCUCAAGUUCUGAACUUGUUGGAUUAUAGAAUUUCUGAGAUCGGCAAUGCUUAUGGACUAGAGUUUCUUAAACACGGCAAAACCUCUUUUAAUAGAGUACUUACCAAGUCAGAUAACAUCAAGUCUAUUUUUAUGAAGAAAGUCGUUGUUUCUUCGAGUUUUUUUAAGAUUGGAGAUGAUGGGCUUGCAGUCAUGGCCUUGGAUAUGGAUGGGAAUGUGGGUGUGUGGAAAAUGGGAGAUGAGAAAUGGACUAAUAUCAACGAUGCCCGUGAGCGGUCUUAUUAUGUUGAUAUCAUUUUUUACAACAGAAAAUUCUAUGCUCUUGAUGUUUCUGGAUUGACUGUAACAGUUGAUCCCAAGAACUUUCAGAUUAAAGAAAUUAUUCAUGGAUACCCGAGUUUUGGAUUUGGUGCUGAUCGUUUUAUGUACCUGGUGGAGUCGUUUGAUGAUUUGUUCCGGGUAGAUAAGUACGACUUUCUCGGAGGAGACUCUCCUUAUGAACAUUCAUGCGAUUUUGAUGUUACCCAUCCCAUUAUUUUCCUGAUUUAUAGGCUGAACGAGGAGAAUCAUGAAUGGGUUAAGGUGGAUGGGUUGGAGGACCGAGUGCUAUUUCUUGGCGCUGAUAGCUCAUUCUCUGUUUUGGCAAACGAUUUCCCUGGGUGCAAGAGAAACUGUGUUUAUUUCGUUGAUGGUUCCUUUCUUGAAGAUUAUGAUGAGCAUCCUCCGUAUGGGUUUUUUGUUUUCAAGAGUCAUGCUGCUAUGCGGUUGUCUAAAUUUCCUAGCUAUUCUAAGAUUUUCUAUCCACCACCAACUUGGCUCAAGACCAACCCAACUCUGUCUCAGCGUUGAAUGAACCCCUGCACAGCAAAAGCAAAGAGGCGAAGCAUCAGCACCAACAUCUAUGUCUCAAUCAGCAUAUAAAGCAUAAUAUACAGUAAUAAGCCCGCAGAAAGGCCUGGUAUAGGUAGUAGCUAGUGCAGGAUCAAGAGUGAGAGUAGUGUCCGGUUUGUCCAUACCCAAAAGAGUUUGUAUUUUCUUUUGUCUUUCAUCAACACUUUUAUCUUCUUUUCUUGAUUGCUACAUUACAAUGUUUGCAGAUUUCUGAACUUCUACAGAGGCGGAGAGUGGAGACACGCACCUUACCAGAUCAAUGUUGCAAUACUCUGUAACAGGCUUUAUUAUCCUCCUUUUAUGCAAAUGUGUCACUGAUGACUUAGUUUUUACAGUUUAUGUGGGUGCCGUUAUCUUUACUCGAUACAUCGGUUCAUGCUUUUGAUAAAUAACUUUUGCUAUAUAUUUCCCUUGUUCUGC